AUUGAACGCUGGCGGUAUGCCUUACACAUGCAAGUCGAACGGUAGAGGGGCAACCCUUGAGAGUGGCGAACGGGUGAGUAAUACAUCGGAACGUGCCCAGUCGUGGGGGAUAACGUAGCGAAAGCUACGCUAAUACCGCAUACGACCUGAGGGUGAAAGCGGGGGAUCGCAAGACCUCGCGCGAUUGAAGCGGCCGAUGGCAGAUUAGGUAGUUGGUGGGGUAAAGGCCUACCAAGCCUGCGAUCUGUAGCUGGUCUGAGAGGACGACCAGCCACACGGGGACUGAGACACGGCCCAGACUCCUACGGGAGGCAGCAGGGGGGAAUUUUGGACAAUGGGCGCAAGCCUGAUCCAGCCAUACCGCGUGCGGGAAGAAGGCCUUCGGGUUGUAAACCGCUUUUGUCAGGGAAGAAAUCUUCUGGGCUAAUACCUCGGGAGGAUGACGGUACCUGAAGAAUAAGCACCGGCUAACUACGUGCCAGCCGCCGCAGUAAGAC
rnacentral:rRNA from 1 species